rnacentral:tRNA from 2 species
GCGGCCGUGGCGAAAUUGGUAGACGCAACGGACUUAAAAUCCGUCAGGAGCAAUCCUAUGCCGGUUCGACCCCGGCCGGCCGCACCA